rnacentral:rRNA from 1 species
CUCGGUGGUGAUGACGGUGGGGUCACACCUCUUUCCAUUCCGAACAGAGAAGUUAAGACCACACGUGCCGAAAAUACUUAGAGCAAUUCUUGGGAAGAUAGGUCGCCGCCGGGA